GCCCGGCCACUCAAGUCAGCUGGCCGAGCGAGCAGGCGGAGACGGCCGAGCCGAUCCGCUUUGUCAGUCCGCGCGUUUCGUGGAGGUGAUAAUGUAAACGUGACAGUGAAGUUUCAUGUUUGUUUCUGGCACGCGCCGCAUGAUGAGUGACACCUUCUCGAGCUGCGGUAUCUACCAAGUGUAUAGCUUUUGCUAUUGUUAUAAGUAACCAAAGGCCUGCACAAAACGAGGAAGCAUGAGGAGCAGGAGCAACUCUGGCGUCCGGCUGGACUACUAUCAGCGCCUGCUGUACCGCACCAUUCUGAACCACCAGGAUCCUGUCACUGGCCUGAUCCCAUCGCAGAAGUACGAGAACCAUGCAUGGGUGCGUGACAACGUCUACUGUGUGCUGUCAGUCUGGGCACUCUCCAUGGCCUACAAGAAAAAUGCAGAGCUUGACGAAGAUCGUGCCAAGACGUACGAGCUGGAGCAAAGCUGUGUCAAGCUGAUGCGCGGUCUGCUCAUGGCCAUGAUGAAGCAAAAGGACAAAGUCGAGCGCUUCAAGGAGAGCCAGAGCCCUGCAGACUGCCUCCAUGCCAAGUACAGCUCCGUGACGGGGAGCACCUGUGUCGGUGAUGCGGAGUGGGGUCAUCUGCAGCUUGAUGCUACUUCUGUGUACCUCCUGGUGCUAGCGCAGAUGACUGCAUCGGGCCUCCAGGUUGUGUUCAGCCUCGACGAGGUGGCAUUUGUGCAGAACCUUGUGUUUUAUAUAGAGAACGCUUACUGCAUUCCAGAUUAUGGCAUAUGGGAACGCGGCGACAAGACCAACCACGGACUUCCAGAGCUCAAUGCCAGCUCUGUGGGUGCUGCCAAGGCUGCAUUGGAGGCCAUGAAUGAGCUGGACUUGUUCGGCGGCAGAGGCGGACCACCUUCAGUCAUCCACGUGCUUCCAGACGAAGCCCAGAAGUGUGAUGCAGUGCUCAAUUCGAUGUUGCCACGGGAGUCUAGCUCAAAGGAAGUGGGUGCGGCAUUGCUAACAGUGAUUGGUUUUCCAGCGUUCUCAGUCACAGACCCGGAACUGAUUGAAACAACACGAACAGCUGUCAUUGAAAAGCUUCAGGGCCAUUACGGCUGUAAGAGGUUCCUGCGGGACGGCUACAAGACUGCAAGAGAGGACUCUCGAAGGUUGCACUAUGAACCUUGGGAACUAAAGGCAUUUGACAACAUCGAGUGUGAAUGGCCUCUCUUCUUCUGCUACAUGAUCAUAGAUGCUUGCUUUAGGGGUGAUAAGGGCAUGGUGGACGAAUAUUCUGAAAAAUUGGAACGAGUUAUGAUAAGGACAGAGGAAGGUCUCAGGCAUGUACCCGAAAUGUAUGGUGUACCUGCAGACAAAGUGCAUCUGGAAUCUGAGAUGCCCCACAGUCAGGCCAGGGUGCCGAUUGGGCAGGUUCCUUACAUGUGGUCGCAGUCUCUGUUCAUAGUGGGCCGUCUUUUGCAGGAAGGCUUCCUUGCGCCUGGUGAAUUGGACCCACUGAAUCGUCGCCUGUGCUCCCUGAAGCGGCCCGAAGUAGUAGUUCAGGUGGUAUUGUUGGCUGAAGAUACGUACCUCCAGGAAAGGCUCUCGGCUAUCUGCGCAGACAUUGAAACAGUCAGUGAGGUUUGCCCUUUUGAAGUGCAGCCAGCUCGAGUGUUGGGGGAGCUUUAUUCCUAUCUAGGCAGAAACUGCAAGCUUGGUCUUAAGGGUCGUCCAACUAAAGACGUGGGCCUGUUGGCAACAAGCAAGCUGUACCUGCUCCAGGACCGGCUAUUUGUCUUCUCACCGCAGAAUUUGGACAGUGAAGAGUUUCACUUGGUGAAUGAUGGAGACCUCUUUGCAGACACGCUGUGCUCGAACAUUUCUGUAUUGCAGUCGCACUGGAACAUUCUUGGGCGACCAACGAUGGUUGUGACACUUCAGCAAAGACAGCUGGUGAAUGGGAAGGUUCCACUUAGCUUGCGCCAGACAGUUAAGAAGUUGUCCAGCGGCUAUGUCAAUGGCACAAGAGUUUGCUUAGGCAGGCUUGGCGAUUUUAUCAGCACUUCCUGCAUUGCCAGUCUAGACUUCUUGAGAGAUUAUGAAUGUGGGAAUCCAGAAAGCCUGCCAACACAGGUGCGGGACUACCUGGACCGGGAAAUGCGGCGUACAUGGCUGAAUCGUCCCGGGGCCAUCAUGCAUGACCCUUUGCGAAUGGGCAUCCCAAGCGCUCGCUCUCGAAAAUCUGGCGUCGCUGGUCUCGUGAAACGCUCACGCUCGAUCACCAGUCGAGAUGGUCUUGACCCCGAGUUCAACACGUUCAUGUCGUCAUAUCCAAGCACCACUGUAGCUUCCAUCACACCCCGUCGCAGGUCCCUCGAGGAAGAGCUGCCACUCCGGGCAAUGUCAGAGUUGCACCUUGACCACGUUGCUGAGUGGGAGUUGUUGAACACGCUGCGUGAGACUGAUUCUCUCGAGGAGCAAGGGGACAUUCUUCACUACCUUUCUGUUCACAAGGGCCUCAACUGGGACACGGGACUGGGCCAGCCACACUCGGUGGUCACAGUUAAGGACCUCUUUCAGGACUUCUACGAACGCACCUGCCAAGAGCACAAGUGGGGGCUGGUGCGGCACUUCGCAAGCUGCCUCGGGAAGCGGGUUGAGGACCUGGCCAAGUCAGUGACAGAUCUCCUGGUGCGCCAGAAGCAGGUGACGGUUGGUAUGCCUGCACACCAAGAGGAGGUCAUCACUCGGCCAUUGUCAACCAAGGAGCUACGAAUCAUCAUUGCGCGUGUUCACAGGAAUGACCAGAGCACAGCCAUGCUGACACAGGAGCUGCUUGCCUACCUGGCCAUGUUCAUACGAACAGAACCCCACCUGUUCCGUGAGAUGCUGCGCUUGCGUGUCGGCCUCAUCAUUCAGGUCAUGGCUGCUGAGCUGGCACGUGCAACAAAGUGUUCGCCGCAUGACACAGCCGACCUCCUCCUCAACCUCAGUCCCUUCGAGAUGAAGUCGCUGCUGCGGAACAUCUUGAGUGGCCAAGAGCUAGCUGCUGUCAAGAGCAUAUCUGCAGUUAGCCCGGGAAGCUUCGCUGCCAAGUGCAGUAUCGUGGAUACCUUUGUCCAUGGAGACGUAGAAGAUGACUCACGGGUGUCUGGCCGCCAGGGGCAAUGGCUGCGCCGCCGGCGCCUCGACGGGGCCCUUAACCGCGUGCCCGUCGACUUCUACUCUGGCGUCUGGCAUGUGCUGGAGCGUUGCCCUGGCGUCUGGGCCGGUGGCCAGUGCCUUCAGCAAACGCUCACCAGGGAGAUGACUCCCGGGGAACUCAAGUUUGCGCUCCGCGUCGAAGAGAUGCUGAACAAGGUUCCCGAGCCUGAGUACAGGCAGCUGCUUGUGGAAGCCCUCAUGGUGCUGAACCUGGUUGUCGAAAGCGAAGCCGUGGCCAGCUUCAGCAUGCCCAUCGACGUCGAGGCCAUUGUCCAGAGGGCGCAUGCCCUGUUUCUUGAGGACCAACGCUUUUGCCAAGGGAACUCGAUACUGUGCUGUACGAGGAGCACGCCCAUUGUUGCCUGCUGUCGGACGGCGGGGCUCUGCCAGAAUUUCCUGGACAGUGCACCCAGCGGCUGUUUCGGCACCAUGACCUACCUAGUUCGCUCGGUGGCCUACACGCUCCACGACCUCCCGCAGUCGGUCCUCGAGUGUCCGGUUUCGUGAGAUCCCACUUGGCUCGAUGAUCAAGGACGAGGCCUUAUGUAAAGAUGGUCACAGCAAGUGUUGACAAAGUUGUCCAGGAGAGUUUUGCAGCCAUCUUCAUGUGGUGAAAGCCAGCAUGAGGCCGCAUGGGCUCGUUAACACUCGGCAAUGGAACCUGUGUUGAAGUCCCGAAUUUUUGCAUUGAAACAAUUUCGGUGAUUAUAAAAUAAAAGUUACCUUGCCUACACCUCCCACGAAUAGACAGCACCUCUCUGCAGUUUUUUUUGUUGUUUCUUUCUGUUUCUUUUUUUUUUUUAGCCAGUAGUCUGCAAUUCUUGUUUCUCGCAUUGUGUUUAACCAGCUCUAAGUUGAAGGUCAGCUUGAAGUCUGUAAGGGUACGAUGGUAACGAGCAGCCAGCAACACAGCCCGAAUAGGAGGCCCAAAGCAGCUGUAUGACCAGGGUGUUGGUGAGAAUGCACGUGGUGCGUUGGUGAUAAAUCAUCACUAAGUAAAGCCAGCAAACAGCCCCCUAGUAUACUUCUGAAGUGUGUCAGAACUCGCUUGUAUGCAGCUUCACUACCUUUGCUGGGUCAGUUUUUCAGAUAGACAUACAUCUGCAAAGGUUUUUUGUUAAUGCGUUGUGCACUCGUGCUGCUGUCAGGUAUUUGUGCCCUGCUAGCAAGAAGAGCCACUCCUCUUAUAAGGGUGCACAGGCUUCCAUUUGAAUUUUCAGCUGUUUUUGCAGCUUACACCUAUCUACGUAUAAUAAUACAUUUUCACUAGGUGGGCUAAACGUCACUCUGGUCCAUUUCACUAAUGCUGUUGUCUGGUAAGAAGCCCUUUAAGAGUGUCUGCAACAUUUCAAUUUAGUAAAUCGGCUCACACUCCUGAACACCUACCGUAAAAUACCGCGGGAGCGCCCACUCCACUUUCCAUGGAAAAUGGGUUAAUCUAGAUAUGCGCACUUCCGGUCAGAGCAGUAAAAAUCAAAAUGGCAGCCAACGAAAAACUUCGAGGCAGGGCUACAGUGGCUAUGGAAUCGAAGAAAGCAUGUUUAUUUUCAAAUGGUAAAUGAUGGAGUACACUAGUGCCUACUCAUCGUCAGUGAACCCAGCGAACGACUCUUUUUAGUCGGUGCAGAAUAGGAGGUCAAUGUAUCCGUCACUGACACUCGCACGACUUGAACAGACCACAGGCUCUCCGGUUAUGAUGGCUAUGCAAGUUGCCGUCCUCACUGCAGUCCAACACAACGCUGAUCCCGCACCCCUUGAAGGAUUGCACGACCAUCUCUUUAGACGAAGCAGCCUAAGCUGUCCACGCAAAGUUCAACAUGUCUUGGCACGAAGGCUUCUGGAGGUUUCCUUUAGGUGUCUUCGCUCCCUUCCUCAUGAACUCGGCCCAUGACAGAUGGUGGGAGAAAUUCUCAGUGCUUCCUCUGUUAGGAGCCAGUUACUGACGGUGUGACCAGCAUCUCGUUCCAUUUGAAGAUAAUCAAAAAGGGCGUCGUCCAACUCUUCAUUGAAGAUGAGCCCGCCAUCCAUGAAUUUGCGCUUCAUCUUCUGCUUGCCAUAGUUCAGGUGCUUGAGGGCAUCAUAUUUGGAGUCCACUUGUGGAUUUUCUUUCUGUCUAUCUUGAAAUGCCGAGAGGUGCAUCUCGGAUUCUUUCCUGAUGUGUAGUGCCACUCGACGACUUCGAUCUUCCUGGCGACGGUGUAGAGGUGUGUUAUGCGGCUAACGAAUUGCACAAGAAGUGUGGGAACAGAGGUUGUGUGCACACUUUAUCAAAAUGUGUCUCACAAAAGCCCUUUGACCACCAGGUUUUUUUUUUUUUCAAGGACUGCUUACUGUCACUCUGCAUUACCUUCACCCUCAUCAUUCUUUCCCUUUCCACCUCAAGGAAGCGAAUAUCCCCGUCAUGACCCCCAGCAGUGACGAUUGCAGUAGCGACUGCAGUGGGGUGAAUAUCUCGACUUAUGCUGGUGCUUUGGAGGGGUAGGGCGCUUAACAUAUAAUUUUCAGAAUUGUGAAGUUUUGGAAAUGUUAAUACUUAGCACUUGUGUGAAACUGGGUGCUUCUGCAGUAUCUUACAGUAAGCCUAAUAUUCCUGUACUCUCGAGCCUGCAUUAUAGGUGAAAGGACUGUGUGCUUGUAGGAUGCCUAAAACCCUGCCACUUCUUGCGUAUAUAUUCCUGUACUCAAUUGAACACGGUGGCCAUUGGCUGGAUUUCCUCAGCUGAUAUCACAACUAAGCAUUGCCUCUUCUAGAACAUGGUGGUAGUAAGAUUUUAAAUGCUAGAUUUAGACAUUCUAUUUGCAGUCACUAGGUGGCGUGAGCAGCUAGAUAACGUGGGUUGCUGCAGAUUUUUGUUCAAGGCUGCACUAGGAUUCUUGACAGAAAGUGGCAGUUAAAGGACAAUCGUCUCAUGCAUUUCUAUUGCUUGAGGAAACAUUACAGUAAUUAACUACAUCUUUAUUAUGUCUUGCACUUUCAGAAACAGACCACAUUCCGAUGAAUUGGGGCAAUGUGACAGAAUGAUGUGAUGUGCAUGCAGUGUUGAAUGCCAUGGUAGACACAAAGAAAUGAAAAGAUAAUUAUAUUCUUCUAUUUUGUAUUGGUUAUUUAUUAUUUUUGAAGUAGUUAUGGGUGCUAACUUGUAAGCCCAUGCAUUUUCUUGUGGUAAGGACCAUGGUUUGUGUACUAUUUUCUUUAUAGUAUCUUGUGAACGACACUUUUGGCACAAGGCUGUACAUUCCCUUAAACAUCUUCACUCAUUGAAUCAUAAGUUUUCUAUUCUCCCCACAUUGAGAACGCUCUUUUGAGCUGGAAGUUUGGAGACUAUCACCAUCACUGCAGGCUUCUCUUGUCCUUCUUCAAAAGCUGUCCUCUGUGCUGUGCAACCUACUGCUGCAAUCAGCAAUGUUCCUAAGCACUCGCCUUGGGAUUUACGUCCACUGCACCUUGUACCACAUACUUCAGCUUUUGAUUAGGCACAUCAGGUGAUCGUUUCAGCUGCUAAAGAGCUAUUCAAAUGCUGCUGAUCAAAAUACCACAUGAUUACGAGCUUUGUCAUUUCAUCACGAUUGUUUCAGUGAUAUUUAUAUUGAAUUUGCAAAAGAUAUGGGUGAAGUGAAGUUUAAUUGCAGUUGAGUCUGGAGCCAGGAAAGAUGAGGUAUGGCUGUAGGAAUCAAGACCUAGAUUUUUUCACAAUGCUGGUUGCACGAUCACUACUGUUUGAAUGGUAUAAUAGAAAUCACUGUAGCCAGCACUGCUAUGAGCUCCUGGGAAAAAAAUUAGAUUGUGAGGUUUUACAUGCCAAAACUACGGUACAAUUAUGAUGCACACCGUAGUGGAGGACUCCGAAUUAUUUUCGGCCACCUACCUUGGUUCUUUAACAUGCACCCAUUGCACAGCACAUGACAUUUUUACAUUUUUCCCCCCAUUAAAAUCUGAGCACCUGUGGCUGGGAUUUUAUCCCAUGCCCUUGGGCUUAGCAGCUCAAUGCCCUAGCCACUACACCACCAUAACGGUGACCACAUGGCAGUUGGCAUUCUUCAUUCCGAGUGUAAUUGUGAAGUGUUGUCCAGUUUUAUACAAAAUAGCAAUUCUCAUCUUCACCAAGUGCUUUACCAGGGGCAGAGUUGUUUCAAGGCAGGCUACAAGUCUGCCUGGAGUUUCUUGACACACUUGUUUAAGAAAUGCCAUUCUGUUCAUGCAUGAAAGUUACAGUAUUGCCUAGCAGGUCCAAGACCAUAGUGCAAGUUUAGUUGCUUACCUUUGCCAGCUGGAAACAUUUUGUUCAUCAGGGGCCCAUUUUGCGCCUAUGAUUGAAGGUUUCCCACAUAUCGCCACAGAUACACAGAUAUCACCUUCAGGAGGAAAGUCUAAUUUUACUAGCAUCUGCUAUCAGGAUAACUUCAAAUGCAAACAAUCCUGAAACUACUUCAGUGUGUUCUUCCAUUUUUAGGUUCAUCUGCAUUUGUAACGUGGCUUAAUUAAGAUUACAAAACAUACACUCGGGACUACUCCAGGCUUAGAAAUCAGAUACAAAGGUAUUACGUGCCAUGCUUCCAUGCAAUUAUACAUGUGACAGGCAUUCCUCUUCACAUGAACAUGUACAUGAACAUGGUCAGUCGAGUUUGUAUACUUUCUUGUGCAUGUCUGUUAUUUGUGACUAGCUAGCUGCCUUAAUUACAGUACCUGCUUCACAACAGCAUGUUCUGCAAGGAGUGCAGUUUGUUCCAAAAUAUUUAAGGCCAGCACUGUCACUGUUCCACCCACAGAGACAUUGAACUUCACUCUUGCUGUCAUCAAAGGCCAUUGGCUGUAGCUCCAACAUACAGGAGCUUGUACACUAGUGACAGGAACAUUGGCCUUUGCACAUUUACUGUACGUGGUUUAAUCUAACUGGCUUCCUGCAUUAAACUUGACUCCAACCUGUCAUUCAGAUUUGGCACAUAACGAUUGCUACAGACUUCAAGACUAAACUCUGUUGGUAUCAGUUCUUUGAUAAGAUUAGCAGUUUAGUGUGCUAGUGUUUAUGCUGAACUUGAAGCAUUUCCAAGGUCCCAAGUUUUUCUGUUAUAAGAGACAACUUAAAGGAUUGACCACUACGCCUGCCUCCCAGAUGUGUAAUGUAUGCAGAUGCCAGCAAUGCAUUGAUUAAGCUGGUCAUCUACAUAGUAAUGUGAAGAUUUUGUAGAGGAAUAUUUCUGAAUCACCAGCAUUUAGUUCCACACUGUGGACACAUUUUCAAUUCACAGGUAAUGAAAUGCCCAAUCUGGCUGUAUUAGUAGGCUGCUCUUUUGGAAGUUUGAUAACGCUUACUUGGAGAGAACAAGAUUUCCUUAUUUGGCCGCAAGAGACGAAGAUCAAGCUUUCAUUUUAUUUUUUCAGUAUUGCAUUCACGCCCUGGCACCAACGACGUUAUGCGAGGUGGAACAGACGCCACUUAAAUUUUAUCGAUUUGUCUUCUUUUAUGCAACAGAAGUUGUCAGCUUAAGUUAUUGUUCUAUUUUGAAUUCAACACGUUUGCUUUUGUGCGUAUGUAUAGCAUUAGCCAGACAUCCUGCAUCCAUGGUUACUGAGCACUUGGGGUUCCAGAGUGCCUCUGAAUUAAGGCCUGUGUUAAACUCCAUGAUUUAACGUAUAUGGCACGUGUGCUCAACUAGUCUGGUUGUCCUGUGUUUUUGCUGUAGUUCUUUUUUUGUGUCUGUGUUGUAGUGUAUCGUGCUGUUGUAGCGUUUGCUGUACAUAGCACUCGAACUAGCAACCAUUUUGCAGUCUUUCACAGAGUUCUUGGCAAUGUUUUUGCACCUACUUGCAUUUCUGCUACUGCAGUCAAUGAGAUGGAGUCAAAUGUUCCUAGCUGUGUGCGAUGAGUGACUGUGACGAAUGUGACAAGUGUGUGACCUACUGAAAGGCCCCUGGCAAAAUACAGCAGCAGACGGGAAGUGUUGCUACAAUGUUGCUCUAUGUUAAAAUUUUGUAUGUAACGCACACUUCACCUUCUAUCAUGAGAAGCCAACAAAAAAAGACGCCAAGGACAACAUAAGGGAAAUUACUUGUAGUUACUAGUUGAAUUAAAGAAAUGAUAAAUUAAUGGCAAUGAAAGCGGAUGAAAAAACAAUUUGCCACAUGUGGGGAACGAUCCCACGUCUUCGCAUUGCAAGUGCGAUGCUAAUCGGAUCGACAUGUAUGUUGAGUCUGCAUAAUUUUUUUUAAGUGCCUAGGAAUGUACAACUGCAUCGGUCCUCAUCACAAGGUUGGGAUUUUAUGUCGCACAAGAGCCGUUUAUUCAGUCGUUUAUUCCCAGGACCUCUGCAAGGUUGGAAACCAUGUGAAGUGAAGCUUUAGUGAAGUGGUUUAAGAAAUGCUAUAAAAUUAGAUGGGACUUGUACAGUUGUCUUUAUGUUUAUCCUAUGCAGUGUGCAAUCUCAUGCAGUGUUGGUGUUUAUGCACAACCCCAUUUACAAACUAUGCUGAAAUGAAAACACUAUAUCGGCCAAAUGCACAUUGCGAGACAUUGACGCAGCGGUAUCACAAAGGUGAAGGCAAUGUACAAUGCUUCUAGAGAGUAUAAUGUUGAUGAGAGAUCUCCGCACAGAGAAGUACGAGACAUAUAUAAAUACACUUAAGGCUUCAAUACACCUUGUGUCAUGUGUUGAAGUGUUGCAACUCGAGGUGGUGUUCAGGCCAGGAAUCCACCAAGCCCAUUGACAAGUACGUCUGAUAGUAGGAAUGAAAGAAAAAGGGUUUAUUUUACAUUAUUUACAAUGGUUCCAGAUAUGGAAGCCCACUCCAUGCAGGAGCAUAUAGAACGUCUGAGUUCACAUCAGGACACGUCAGCAUUUCUCACUGUACGUAAGGUCCCCUCUUUUAAUACCGUCGUCUUCCCUAGAUGACUAGACUAAGGAAUCUGAUGACUGUAUUUCAGACAAUCGCAAUCCCAAAUCGGUUGCAGCUCUGCCUCCUAUAUUGCACCUUCGGCCCCGCAUAUGGCACAAGCGCAUAGCAAUCUGGGAAUCUGAAGUUGAUGCUGUUCCCACGGUAGCAUUCGACGUUGGCCCUUUUCAUAAAUUAGGUCAGGUUGUCAGGUUCAGGCAGAGAGGUUUUUGUUGACCCAUAAACAGUCGGCAUCAGUGCUGUGCUGACUUCUGGAGACGCGCUGAUGAAUGGGGGUAAACGUCUAAGGAAUGCUCAUCGCCGUUUUGAGACAUAACAGAAGCUUCCAAGUAGCCCAAAUAUAAGAAAUUUAAGAAAAUCAAAGAAACUGUUCAAUACCUUUAAGAGGUUUGUGUGCUUUAGCCGACGUUAUAUGUACAGGUUCUUGCGUGAUUGUCUUUUACGUUGAACAGAGGUGCAGUCACUGGCACUAACAUAUAAAGCUAUAUAUUACUGUGCAUUACACAUAACUUAAAAUCUAAAUCGCCUGUACGGAGAACCUUUCACAUUGAAAAAGGUUUCGGGACCGUGGCCUCGCAUAUCGCAGCUACAGAAAGCCACAAAAGCACUGCUGCAAUUUCUGGAGGCCACAAGACUGAACGACCGUCUGUGAUACAGAGCAGAGAACUGUCACUACGUCGUCGAUAUGAACAGUCGACUUUCUCUUCCUCUCUUAAUCUCUUCUUCCCUUUUUCCCCUUCCCCCGGUGCAGGGUAGCCAGCCUGGCUCAGUCCUGGUUAGCCUCCAUGCCAUUAAUUUAUCCUAUUUCCUCCCUCUCUCUCUCUCUCUCUCUCACAUUACUCGAACCAAACUUUAAUACUACAAUGAUACAGCUUAAUCGAACGAGACCCAUCGCGAAAAAAGAAAUCAUUCACAACGUGCAGCAUACGUGAGCUAGAUUUAAAUCUACCACAGUCCGAAAUGAUGAGUUAGGCCAGUGGCUAACAUGGGUGCAGAAACGUUGGCUUUCGACAGGCAGUUGGGCUUCAUUAUUUGAAAGCACAAUUGAGAGUGCUGCAAUCCACAAGUGCAAGCAAGCAGAGAUGUCAUUUUUUUUUCUUUUACAUUUUGCACAGAGAAAGGAACCACUUAAAAUAAAAUGUCAUGAGAACAACUUUAUGGAAAUUUUUUAGUGUAGUAUGUGUGCAACUUUUCAAAUACCACUUCUGCUCUUAAACGAAUAUUGAAAAUUUUUGUAUAACUAACAAGUACCUUGCUAAUCGCACUUCAAAAAUAUUCGAAGUAACUUGGAACAACUGCAAACAAUGUACUGUUGGUCGCAUUUGUCUAUUGUGUACCACUCUAUUUUUAAUAUUUGAACGCCCAGUUUAAGUAGUCUAUUCAGCCAGAAGCUUACCCACUAGCAUACCUACACCAAACACCAAGGGGGAGGCAAAGAAAGCUUUGCUUUAAAAUAGUGCCAACUGUUUGGGUUUUUGUGGACAUUGUGUCUAAGCCCUGCCUCCGGCAGUUGCAAAAGUGAGCAAGUGCUGAGAUUGGUAGGGUGACAGUACCAUUUAGUGGUGAACAGCGGUAUCGCUGCACCAAUACCAUGGCCUCCAGUAUUCAGGGGCACAAUAGAGAGUCGCGCCACAGCUUCGAGUGCAGCUCAAACAAACACAAGAUUUCAAUAAAAUUUUUUAGAAGAGAUUCAUGCGAUGUUCAACAGGCAAAGUUCAGCUUCCAUAAAUGGUGUUGCAUCGCCCCUUUAACUAGCUCGUCAAUGUGAUUUUGUCAUGUUGAUCCUCGUGUUCUCACUAUAUUUCCUUGCGCAAAAUCGUAAUUUAGAGGAGAAGUCAGGUUUGGCCUGGUUUUUAUACAGCUUUAGCUUUGGUAGACACCAGGCAUGAAGGGGGAAGAGGAAGGACAAACAUGUGUCGCCAUAUGUGAAUGCACCAUCUAUACUUAUUUACUUGAAAUUGCUGUGUGUGUGCGACAAAACUGGGUGCUAACUGUGCUGUCAUCCCAAAACUAAGCAUUCGUGAAAAUCGUGCUGGUGUCGUACACACUGUCAAUGUGGAAAAAGAGACUUGCCAUCUAGUUUGGUACUUUAUAUUUCCAUUUCAUUCCAACACAGUAGUAAGGAAAUGAACUGGGCUAGUUGGUGUUCGUUCAUUUUAAACUGCACCAAGCGACUGAUCACGGUGGAUGACACAUCCUGUCUCGUGCUGCGUCUCUGUCAUUUACCAUGAUUAGUGUCUUUUGGUGCAGCUCAAGAAUAUAGUGCAGUAAGGUGUUGCCAGGAAUAUGUUGCUUGUGCUGUUACAAUACAUUGGUAACUAUCAAUUUAGCUCAUACAUUGCGCUUGUAUUAGUAGUAAUAAAAGUUAUUUAGAUUCA